AACGAACGCUGGCGGCAGGCUUAACACAUGCAAGUCGAACGCGUGUAGCAAUACACGAGUGGCGCACGGGUGAGUAACGCGUGGAUAUCUGCCUUUUGGUUCGGAAUAACUCCGGGAAACUGGAGCUAAUACCGGAUGGUUCCUACGGGAUAAAGAUUUAUCGCCAAAAGAUGAGUCCGCGUACGAUUAACUAGUUGGUGAGGUAAUGGCUCACCAAGGCGACGAUCGUUAGCUGGUCUGAGAGGACGAUCAGCCACACUGGGGACUGAGACACGGCCCAGACUCCUACGGGAGGCAGCAGUGGGGAAUAUUGGACAAUGGGGGCGAACCCUGAUCCAGCCAUGCCGCGUGAGUGAUGAAGGCCUUCGGGUUGU
rnacentral:rRNA from 1 species